rnacentral:rRNA from 1 species
AGAUUGUGCUAUACCUUAUGUAUGUAAGCGUAUUACCGGUGGGGUUCUUAUAUGCAAAUGUAAUACUUGUAUUCUUUUGUAUAUUCCUCCUAUUUAAACCUGCCUCAAUGCUCUUCAUCGGGUGUUGUUGCGGGCCGGUACAAUUACUUUGAACAAAUUAGAGUGCUUAAAGCAGGCUCCAAAUGCCUGAAUAUUUUGUGCAUGGAAUAAUGGAAUAAGACCUCUGUUCUACUUUCAUUGGUUUUUAGAUCAAGAGGUAAUGAUUAAUAGAAGCAGUUUGGGGGCAUUAGUAUUACGACGCGAGAGGUGAAAUUCUUGGACCGUCGUAAGACUAACUUAAGCGAAAGCAUUUGCCAAAGAUGUUUUCAUUAAUCAAGAACGAAAGUUAGAGGUUCGAAGGCGAUCAGAUACCGCCCUAGUUCUAACCAUAAACGAUGCCAGCUAGCAAUUGGGUGUAGCUAAUUUUAUGGCUCCCUCAGUCGCA